rnacentral:tRNA from 3 species
GGAGGGGUGGUCGAGUGGUUGAUGGCUCCGGUCUUGAAAACCGGCAGGGCGCAAGCCCUCGUGGGUUCGAAUCCCACCCCCUCCGCCA